rnacentral:rRNA from 1 species
UACAGAGGGUGCAAGCGUUGUUCGGAAUUAUUGGGCGUAAAGCGCGUGUAGGCGGCUUGGCAAGUCGGGUGUGAAAUCCCUCAGCUCAACUGAGGAAGUGCGCCCGAAACUGCUUUGCUUGAGUGUCGGAGAGGAUGGCGGAAUUCCCCAAGUAGAGGUGAAAUUCGUAGAUAUGGGGAGGAACACCGGUGGCGAAGGCGGCCAUCUGGACGACAACUGACGCUGAGACGCGAAAGCGUGGGUAGCAAACAGG